rnacentral:lncRNA from 1 species
CCCGCCCCCGCCCGCCUCCUGCUCCUUGCGCGGCGCUGCCUGCGCGCUGCUGGUUGAGCUGCGCAGCUGUGCGCAGCGCGGAGUUUGCUUUGUGCCCGCGGUCGCGGCAGGACGGCCCGCAGAAUCAUAGAAUAAUUAAGGUUGGAAAAGACCACUAAUAUCAUCCAGUCCAACCGUGAACUCAUCACCGCCAUGCUCACUAGAUCGUGUCCCUCAGUUCCACAUCUAAAGGGAUGGUGACUCCACCACCUUCCUGGGCAGCCUGUUCAAAUCACCACUAUUCCUGAGAAGAAAUUUUUCCUAAUAUCCAACCUGAACAUCCCCUGACGCAACCUGAGGCCAUCACAUCUUAUCCUGUCACUGUUACCUGGGAAGAGAGGCCAACCUCCACCUCACCACAAUCUCCUUUCAGGUAGUUGUAGAGAACGAUAAGGUCUCCAAGGUUUCAGAACUAUAGGCUGAACCAAUAGCAGUGGGAUACAGCUUCACUGUAACCUGUGAAAUAAUUUAAGUACCAUCAUUUGUGAGAGAACUAUGCUAGCCACAUGUGAUCAGACUGCAUGCUGGCACGUGCAGCAGUCACUGGGGGGAAAGUGUACUGGCAUGGCUGAGCAUUUUUAUGUUGAAACCUUUAUACUUUCUCAGCACGGGACGGUAAAAAGUGAAAUCUAAGUAGUUUUAAUUAAUCCAUGCUGCAAAUGAUGACUGGCUUGGCUUGAAAUCCUAUCCACUUCCUCACUACUCCUGAAUGUAGGUGAGCAAUUUGUCUGCAGGAUAGUGCAAGCCAAGAACGUAGUUCUGGAGGCUGUGAUGGUUGUCCCAGGCUGGGCUUCUUGGAGUGAGGACGGUAUCGGGAAACAGAGCGUCUCUCUGAGCCUGCUCCUCCUGCCUGGCAGCAGCACGGCAGCCUCCUGCUCCAUGUCAGCCUAAUCCGGUGAGGAGCCUGGGGGCUGUGCGCUGCCAAGAGGCCUGUCAGCGUCUGACUUCUCGCCAGUGCUGUGAGGCGGUUUGGCGUUGGAGAGUGGGGAGAUGCUGGAAACGAGAAAAUCGUGAAUGCUUACAUGGUUCUGCCAUCAGCAUCGUCAUUACUAUUAUUUAUUAGUGGCUGCAC